CUUUCCAAUCAGCAAACAAAGUUAUUUUUUGUUUUCCUUCUCCCUAUCUUUCUUCUUCAUAUUGGUGUUCUGGAGACUUGGAGUUAGAGUGUGUGUGGCAGUGCCUCUCAUUAACAAGAAAACUCCUUCUCGGUCUGGAGACUUGGAGUUAAGAGUGUGCGUGGCAGUGCCUCUCAUUAACAAGAAAACUCCCUUUCUUUCUUUCUUUCCUCUCCUAUCUAGCUUAGUGCAACAAUACACAACAUCAACAUUAACUACACCAGCCCCAACUGUUUUCUCUUUCUAUUUCUCUCUCUCUCUCUCUAUUCCUCUCCUAUCUAGCUUAGUGCAACACUACAACAACAACCCCAACUGUUAACUGGAAUCCUUCCUACAAUUUAUCUCAUUCGGAUAGCAGCAACAUCAUCAGCUGCAGCUUCUCUUCCAUCUUCCUUCUCAUGCCAACUUAAUAGGUGAGCUAAUCAAUGAAAUAUGAUCUUUAUAUGCAAACCUAUCCCUCUUUGCACAACUACUGUUGUUGUGAAGCAGUUAGUAAAUGCAGAUUAUACUUCAGAUACAGUCUAAUUACCAUGAUUGAAGUCUAGGUAGGAGACCAAUUAUACAAUUAUUUAUUUAAAAUUACAUGUGGAUUUUCAGAUUUUGUGUUGGAUCCAAGUAUAAUUAGUAGAAGAAAAGGAAGAGCUUUGUUGCAAGUGGGAAUUUGUCUCCUAAUGAUCACAUGCUCAAAAGGCAUCAUCUCUUUUCCUUUCUUUUCUUUUCAUUUCAUCUCAUUUCUAUCAGGGUGGGUUUCUGUACUAAGGAAGGGAAAUAAAUGGUGGAUGUGCCCCCCCCGCCCCCCUUAACAUGAAUUGAAAGGAACAAUUCAUUAGGAACAAUUCACAUAGAUGAAGUCUUAUGAUAAGGAAUACAUGAGGCUGGCAAUGUUGAAGCAUGAAGAGACAUUCAAAGAACAGGUGUGCCCUUUUGGAAUUU
rnacentral:lncRNA from 1 species